AUUGAACGCUGGCGGCAGGCCUAACACAUGCAAGUCGAACGAGAGGCGGACGGGUGAGUAAUGUCUGGGAAACUGCCCCAUGGAGGGGGAUAACUACUGGAAACGGUAGCUAAUACCGCAUACCAUCGGAUGUGCCCAGAUGGGAUUAGCUUUUAGGUGGGGUAACGGCGCACCUAGGCGACGAUCCCUAGAUGGUCUGAGAGGAUGACCAGCCACACUGGGACGGAGACACGGGCCAGACUCCUACGGUAGGCAUCAGUGGGGAAUAUGGCACAAGGGGGGAAACCCUGAGGCAGCCAGGCCGCGGGUAUGAGGAAGGCCUUCGGGUUGUAAAGUACUUUCGGCAGGGAGGCGGUACCCGCAGAAGAAGCACCGGCUAACUCCGUGCCAGCAGCCGCGGUAAUAC
rnacentral:rRNA from 1 species